GACGAACGCUGGCGGCGUGCUUAACACAUGCAAGUCGAACGAUGAAGCUAGAGCUUGCUCUGGUGAAUUAGUGGCGAACGGGUGAGUAACACGUGAGUAACCUGCCCCGAACUCUGGGAUAACUGCUGGAAACGGUAGCUAAUACUGGAUACGACCUACGAAGGCAUCUUCUGUAGGUGGAAAGAAUUUCGGUUCGGGAUGGACUCGCGGCCUAUCAGCUUGUUGGUGAGGUAAUGGCUCACCAAGGCGACGACGGGUAGCCGGCCUGAGAGGGUGACCGGCCACACUGGGACUGAGACACGGCCCAGACUCCUACAGGAGGCAGCAGUGGGGAAUAUUGCACAAUGGGCGCAAGCCUGAUGCAGCAACGCCGCGUGAGGGAUGACGGCCUUCGGGUUGUAAACCUCUUUUAGUAGGGAAGAAGCGAGAGUGACGGUACCUGCAGAAAAAGCACCGGCUAACUACGUGCCAGCCGCCGCCGUAA
rnacentral:rRNA from 1 species